AUGCCCCCUUGUGUCUAAUGUCAGAUGCAGGGGGCGUGACUUGGGGCUCUGGGGCACGCAUGCACUAGGAUGCCCCCUGGUGAAACUUUUUAUUUUUAUUUAUUUAUUUAUUUUAUUUUUACAGUUAUAUCCUGCUUUUCCUCCGAGGAGCUCAGAACAGUUUGUCCCCCAGCUGCCAGGAAUCUCGCUACGCCCCUGCAGAUUACACAAAAUUAGUUGGCAGGCGUACUAUCCUGAUAUGUUUGAAAGACUGAAGAUUCUUCCUAAGAACACACCAUAUUAUACUUGGAUCCUUAAGUAACCCUGUAGUCCAUGGAUGCUAGAAGAUUGCAUUUGCAACCCUUGGCAAAUUAAAGGAUCCGCUAGCAAAGUUGGAAUUUCCAGGUGUCAUCUCUAAGGUUACCAUUCCAACUGGCAUCAGAGGAAAAACAGGCUCAGUGGCUGAGAUAUCACAGUUUGGGCCCUGAACCAGAAACCAAGAGGAGACUGAGAAGAAACCCAAACUUGAACCAUUCAGGAGGAUGUUUAAUGAGGACGAAGAUAUUGUAUGAAACCCCACCCCCAGGGAAGGGGAGAAAUGGUUUGAUCAGCUAGCCAAGAAAUCAGUCCAGUCAAAGAUCUCCACAAUCCAUGACCUCCUAUAGUCACAGUUCAUGACCUCAUUUGCCCUCUUUAGCUAUUAAGUUAUACAUGUGUACAGAUGUCUGUACACAUACAUAUUUUUGCAUGAAUGUAUAUGUGUUCAUUUAAAAAGUGUACCAGGGUAGAAAGUGUACUACUGCAUAUACAUUGAACAUAAUAUCUGAAUAACUAUGGGCUGGUUCAAACUGUGACCACAGUGCAUGUGAAGAGGAAGGGGGCAUGCCAAACGCAUGCUCCCUCCUUCACAUGUACUGCUGCUGUUAUCGUUUCUACCAGUCCUGUAUUUUUUGCAUGCAUAAACUGUAAAGGCAAAGUGUGCCGUCGAGUCGGUGUCGACUCCUGGCGACCACAGAACCCUCUGGUUGUCUUUGGUAGAAUACAGGAGAGGUUUACCAUUGCCAUCUCCCGCGCAGUAUGAGAUGAUGCCUUUCAGCAUCUUCCUAUAUUGCUGCUGCCCAAUAUAGAUGUUUCCCAUAGUCUGGGAAACAUACCAGCAGGGAUUCGAACCAGCAACCUCUGGCUUGGCAUUAGACAGGUUGUAUGUGUGUUGAACAUAACCUGAUAAUGUAUGAAUAAAGCAUUUGUAUAAAUAAAUGAAUAAAGCAUUUGGACAGUGAGGGUGUAGGACACACGAGGCAUGUCUAGUCUGUGGGGCAGUGGUACAGCUAUAUAAUGCCUAUGCUUUGGUGGUGGGGAGCAAUAUGAAUAAAGGAUAUCAGAAGCUAACCCCUAGUCUAUGAGUUUAGAGAUGCAGCCCUUCGAUGCCUGUGCAGAGGGCUCUGAAAGUGGACAACAGAACAGACUGUCGGCUGGUGCAGGCUACCAGCAUGGCAUCUAUACUUUUCUUUUUCUUUUUGUAAUUACAAACAAAAAUAAUUAUUUUAAAACUAAUAUAUAUUUUUCAUAAUUAAAACAAAAAAUUACAAACAGCAAAGAAAUAAGAAACAAUCACAAGUUAAGUACUUCAAAGAGGAAUGACAAAAUAAUCUAUUUGUAGGGUGACCAAACUUAAUUUGAUGUAUUCUAAAGUGCAAUAUAAAAUCAAUACAAUUUGAUGCAUUAUAAAAUAAAAAUCAUUUGAUGUAUUAUCAAAUAAAAAUAAAAUAAUUGAGCAGAGACUGACCACGUUGUACUGACAAAGCUUGUGGCGUCUGCUACUUCACCACCAACACCAUAGAAACCAGGCCCAUCCAUUUCCUACCUAGAUCACCUCUCAGCAAUGCCUGACACUGUGCAAGUGGACUCUCUGUCUGCUGCUGUGGCUUAGUAAUCCAGCCCUCCCUCCUCUCUUCCUUGAAAGCAAAACACUUCACAACCAUCUGCUCAGUAAAGUGCAUCAUUUGUUGAAGAUCCUUCCCAUCAAUGAAUGAAUUCCUCUAGACUUCACUCUAUUAGCUUGUUUGAAAUUAGAUUUAUCCAGAUCACCAACAGUGAGCUUAUCAUGGUUAUAUUAGCCAAUAAUCUAUUGGCCAAGCCCCACAGCAGUCUCUGGAAAUCUCUCUAUAUUUGGCCAAGGCUGUACAUCUGGUCCAGGAGAUGAAGCAAUUGUCAGCCUUUCAUUUCUUCAGUAAAAAUUCAGAAGUCAGAAGAUGGAUUCAAGAAUAUCAAAUAAAGUUGCUGCUGUUAAACAUAAUUUACAUUGUCUAUCAGAUCCAAUUUCUCGUUAUUUCUUCAGUCAGUGUUUAUUGAAUGGCUACGUUGUCAUAAAGCCUUCAGAAAUAAGAUGAAGCUUUAAAUUUGCUGUAAAUGAAGCACCUGUGUUUAUUAUGAAUCUGCACACAGCACUAUUUUUGCAGAGAUGCUUGUCAGUCAAAGAGGUGCCUCCAUAUUAAUUCUCUUUUUUUCUAAUUGGGAAAUGGGAGUGAAGUGACAUUUACAUCAUGAUGACUCCUGUGAUUGACAUAUGUCGAUGCUCAAACAUUGCUGAGCCUGUAUUCACAUAACCAGAAAGAAAGUAAAAUGGCAUCAAGGAAAAAGGGUUGAAGGUUGUUUGCCUAUAACUAUGACAGAGCAAAACAGGGGCCAAUGAACUCAUCUUUAGAGCUACUUUGAAAUACUUAACAGUGUCUAUCAACAUUCUUCCUCUGAAGGAAUAUAUCUAUUCCUGGCUUUUUAGUUUCUUAAUUUUGAAAUGCUCUUUAAAAUGUCUGCUUGGAAUCUUUUUGAUCCUUGUUUCAUUUAAAAUGUUGAACCUGACGUUUCAUUGUAUAAUUAAAAGAAAAGAAAAA